UUCCGUAGGUGAACCUGCGGAAGGAUCAUUCGCACAUAAUCCAAUCACAUUCCUGUGAACUUGUUGGUGAGGGUCUGUGCGAUAGGCGUGCCUUCGCGGGUGCUGCCUUCGCGCAGAUGCUCAAGGGUGGUGGGGCGAGCUUCGGAACGUCCUCCGACUCGUUCCCACUGCCAGUUCUCGCUGCAAAGCAACUUUGAAAACAUCUUUUCAACUUCGAGUCGAUGGCUCUCCUGAGCCACGUCUAAUUACUCACAACUUUCAGCGAUGGAUGUCUCGGUUCGAUCAACGAUGAAGGGCGCAGCGAAGUGCGAUAAGCAUUGUGAAUUGCAGAAUUCCGUGAACCGACAGGGACUUGAACGCAUAUUGUGCUUUUGGGAUAUCCCUGAAAGCAUGCCUGCUUCAGUGUCUACGCUUUGUUGUUCCAGCAGCUGUAGCCCUUUGCGGGGCAUGCUGCUUGUGAUCUCUUGCGCCUCAGGACGCGCUCUCUCGGCGCUCUUGAGGUGUUCGAUGGACAAGGCUCUGCUUCGACAGCCAGCUUACUGAGCGCACUUCGGUGUCAUUUGGUUGCUGUGCGACGUUGUAGCUUGGGGCUUUGCUCUCCUUUUCCUGUUACGCCCCUCACAGGGCGUUUCAGCAUUCAAGACAUGAAGUCAGGUUGGCAAACCCGCUGAAUUUAAGCAUAUCA
rnacentral:rRNA from 1 species